rnacentral:rRNA from 1 species
GGUUACUGCUAUCGAGGUUCGACUAAGCCAUGCGAGUCGAAUGUAGCAAUACAUGGCGUACUGCUCAGUAACACGUGGACAACCUACCCUUAGGCCUGGGAUAACCCCGGGAAACUGGGAAUAAUACCGGAUAUCUCGCGAAUGCUGGAAUGCGUCGCGAUAGAAAGCUCCGGCGCCUAAGGAUGGGUCUGCGGCCUAUCAGGUAGUAGUGGGUGUAACGUACCUACUAGCCUACGACGGGUACGGGUUGUGAGAGCAAGAGCCCGGAGAUGGAUUCUGAGACACGAAUCCAGGCCCUACGGGGUGCAGCAGGCGCGAAAACUUUACAAUGCUGGAAACAGCGAUAAGGGGACCUCGAGUGCCAGGAUACAAUCCUGGCUGUCGUAAUGCCUAAAAAGCAUUGCAUACAAGGGCCGGGCAAGACCGGUGCCAGCCGCCGCGGUAACACCGGCGGCUCGAGUGGUAACCGCUAUUAUUGGGUCUAAAGGGUCUGUAGCCGGCUGACUAAGUCUCUUGGGAAAUCUGACAGCUUAACUGUCAGGCUUUCAGGAGAUACUGAUCGGCUCGAGACCGGGAGAGGUGAGGGGUACCUCAGGGGUAGGGGUGAAAUCUUGUAAUCCUUGAGGGACCACCAGUGGCGAAGGCGUCUCACCAGAACGGAUCUGACGGCAAGGGACGAAAGCUAGGGGCACGAACCGGAUUAGAUACCCGGGUAGUCCUAGCCGUAAACGAUACUCGCUAGGUGUCGGCCACGGUGCGACCGUGGUCGGUGCCGUAGGGAAGCCGUGAAGCGAGCCACCUGGGAAGUACGGCCGCAAGGCUGAAACUUAA